rnacentral:rRNA from 1 species
GUGUAAGCAGCCGCGGUAAUACAGAGGGUGCAAGCGUUGUUCGGAAUUAUUGGGCGUAAAGCGCGUGUAGGCGGCGGAGCAUGUCGGGUGUGAAAGCCCUCGGCUUAACCGAGGAAGUGCGCCCGAAACUGCUUUGCUGGAGUGCUGGAGAGGGUAGCGGAAUUCCCGGUGUAGAGGUGAAAUUCGUAGAUAUCGGGAGGAACACCAGUGGCGAAGGCGGCUACCUGGACAGACACUGACGCUGAGACGCGAAAGCGUGGGGAGCAAACAGGAUUAGAAACCCGGGUAGUCC